rnacentral:rRNA from 1 species
GAUCCUGGCUCAGGACAAACGCUGGCGGCGCACAUAAGACAUGCAAGUCGAACGAACUUAACCAUUAGUUUACUAUUGGAGCGGUUAGUGGCGGACUGGUGAGUAACACGUAAGCAACCUGCCUAUCAGAGGGGAACAACAGUUAGAAAUGACUGCUAAUACCGCAUAUGCCUUAGAAUCACAUGGUUCGAAAGGGAAAGGAGCAAUCCGCUGAUAGAUGGGCUUGCGUCUGAUUAG